UACGAAGGUGGCAAGCGUUGUUCGGAUUUACUGGGCGUAAAGGGAGCGUAGGUGGUUAGGUAAGCCCUCCGGGAAAUCUUCAGGCUUAACCUGAAAAGGUCGGGGGGGACUGCCUGGCUAGAGGACGGGAGAGGAGCGCGGAAUUCCCGGUGUAGCGGUGAAAUGCGCAGAUAUCAGGAGGAACACCGGUGGCGAAGGCGGAUCUCUGGGCCAUUACUGACGCUGAGGAGCGAAAGCGUGGGGAGCGAACAGG
rnacentral:rRNA from 1 species